UCUAUUCUCUUACACAUCUCAAACAGGAAUGAAUUUGUAUAUUGCACACUUAUUCGUUCAAUACAUACGCGAUGCGUUCGUCUCAUGGCGUUUUCCUUUCGUCUUGCUCUCUUUCAUUUCUCGCUCGUACAAUACAGAUGUACACACAUCUAUUUUCUAACAAAUCUAAAGAAAGUUACUCGCGACAAAUGUCCUAACAUUAUGGACGUUUCUAUUUAGCGAUAUUAUUGAGAUAUGUGUACUUUUGUGUGCUACACUGGAUUAGCCGCGUGAAGUGACACACAUAUAUGAGUAUGAGUGUGUGAAGUAUGUGCGUGCGCAGCGUCUCGUAAAACAGAAGAAUGCAAUGUUUCGUACGUAUAGUGGCAGAAAAAGAUGGCGUGAGAAAAGGAGUGCUGAGACGCGUACAAUGUUUAUCUAUCUAGUGUCUUCGACUAAGAUCCACGAUUCUCAACAGAUAUUAUGGCCGAAUGGCAAAUUCGUGUCAGAGGAGAAACUUAACCUUUCGCACUCGAGGACUUUUUUGGUCGAACGUAGCAGCUACUUUGGAUGAUUUAGCGUGAUUUCUAAACUAUAAUACUUUCGCCAUGAUUCGGAGGGAUAUGGGAUAAAAUAUUUUAUCUCCAUUUUUAAAGUCUAACACUUUACACUUCUUAACAAAGAACAUAAAGAGGUAAGCAACCAAUUUACGAAGCAAUGUUGCACUCAUUAAUUGGAGAUGUCGAAAUCUAGCAUAAACAGAGACUGUCACCUCUAAAGUGCAACACCGCCUCUCAAGUGCAAAAGGUUAAAAAUUUACGAGAAACGAUGCAUCUCGUUCCAGCAGAUUGUGUACAUUUCUACGAUAAUUUCAAUUAGCGACAGAAGGAUUGUUAGAGUCGCAAAUGGCUUCAACGUAGAACGCCUUGAUUUUAAUGCGGAUAAUAAUCGAAUUUCCUGAAUAAUACUAAUCCACAAAAAGUCAUUAUAGGUAGGUAGGUUUCUGCACAAAAGAGUCCAAUUAUCCAUUAUAUCAACAAGUCUCAACAUUCGGUGGAAUAGUUUUCAACGCCUAUUUAAUAUGCUAAUUCUUCAGUACACUAAUUCUUUACUAAAUAUACAAGCUAUUUGCAAAAUUUUAGUACAAGCGGAAAGAAGCUUCCGAAGAUUAUCUCCAUUUAAAAAAAGCUGAAUUUGAAUAUUCGUUAAGAACGUACUCAUCUCCUGCCCACAAAGCUCCACAAUUUUCGGAACACCUUGAAAUACCUAUAUGAACUAUACGAUUCCAUUAAAAAAAGGAAAAGCGUGUCACCUUCGUAUGACCUUGGCUGUCUACAAAAAAAGCUAAUUACACCGGAUUAUGUCUGCUCCGAUACCAUACAACCUCUGGAAGCUGGUGCAUGUGCAAUUGAAGAGUCAUUUAGAUUAGUCAUAAGAUUGAUAAAUCGCUAGCAAAAUUGUGAGAUGCUAAGAAAUAUGUAAAAUCAGUUCUCAGUCCCGAGGCCUCCGAGUCCUCAGUUCUAAGAAAAUAUUCUCAAAAAAGAAGCAGCGACUGAUCAACUUUAUCAAUAUAGAAAAAUAGCAGCUGGAAAACAGGAUAACAAUACCCAACAUUUCUACGCGUUCACAAAGUCGAAGAGAAACUGGUACUGUUGUUGGUAACAUGCUCCUCUCGUUCACCUAGCCCCCUUUUCAUUCUUUUUACGAAGCUGUAUGGGAUCGAGGGUACAUUCAAAUAGAAAGUUUAACACACACGAGUAGUUGACAGUAAACGUAGACGAAGCCUCAGUUACUAUUAGCCACGAUCAUGUCGAUAGCCAAGGGAUACAGUGAAUGGAUGCAGCUUUGCUUGCGUGCACGAUAAAGCACGAGAGGUAUAUUAGUAGAUUUUGAACAGUAUCAGUGUACUAUAUCAGUGUGGAAUACAAUUCUGAAUAAAUAACGAAGUACGUGCACUUGUACUGCGCUGCAUUCACUGUACCAUCGAUACAGCUUUUAUGUUUGUUAUAUACACGGAAAUCAUUAUGUCUUGGAAAUGAACGCUCGAAAUAAGAUUCUGAACGCUGGCGAAGUUUAUUGAUUCGUACGCUGAACAUGUACUACGCGUACAGUGCUGUGAAUAAUUGCAGACGUAUUUUCAAACGUAUUUUCCGCAUUAUUUCUUUGAUAUUUCCAAGAAACCAUUGUUCAUAUCUGAAUAUUGUUCAGUGAAGUUGUGUUUGUAAAGGGUAGAUUGAACGCUAUGGGAUACGAAGCAAUGGUACAUGGCGAAUUAUUGUCUUUCAUUGGCGAAAUAAGAGACAAAAGACAAUUUUUCAGCGAGACUGGAGCGACUUUGAAGCUUUCAAAAUUUCCGAAUAGAAUACGAAAGUUUACAAUCAGAGGAAGCUACCUGUGAAAAAUAUCGCGCAACUUGGAAAAAAGGUAAAUUCCCGCGUGGGCGGAUAUUCGAAACGGAACUUUAAAUAAGUUAGCGGAUAGCGUGCUUGGCAGAUUAGUAAAAGUAAUUAAAAAUAAAGGAAAAUCCACUAAAUAUCGAAUGAGAAGGUAACGAAAUUAACAUUGAGUUUAUAUGUGUUCAGAACGAGAAAUACAAUUUUAGAAGAAAAUUUAACUGUUUGCUGUAUCUUCUGUUUUCUUUCAUAUUGUAAUAUGAAAUUAUAUAAGCGAUUUCACCGAUUUUUGUUUUAAUAUUACAACAAACUUCAAAAUAGGGCUGUGUUUAUAAUCAGUCGCUGUACAUCGAACAUAAAUGCGUUCCUCAUCCACAAGAUUGCAAACAAAUUGUUCAGAGCAAACCUGCCAAGGAUCCACAGGAACCUAUAAGGAAUCAUCAUACAUAAAAGAUGGAUUUUUCAUAACAAAAACGCGAAGGAUAUAAGCAAAACGUACAUCACGUGUCUAAGAAUUAUCUACUAGAUAAAAAAAUGAAUAAUCUAAAUUCUUCAGCGAAAUUGAAAAUUUAUUAAAAAGGAAAUACAGUCAGUUU